AUUGAACGCUGGCGGCAGGCUCAACACAUGCAAGUCGAGCGGAGCGAGGGUGCUUGCACCUUAGCUUAGCGGCGGACGGGUGAGUAAUGCUUAGGAAUCUGCCUAUUAGUGGGGGACAACAUUCCGAAAGGAAUGCUAAUACCGCAUACGCCCUACGGGGGAAAGCAGGGGAUCUUCGGACCUUGCGCUAAUAGAUGAGCCUAAGUCGGAUUAGCUAGUUGGUGGGGUAAAGGCCUACCAAGGCGACGAUCUGUAGCGGGUCUGAGAGGAUGAUCCGCCACACUGGGACUGAGACACGGCCCAGACUCCUACGGGAGGCAGCAGUGGGGAAUAUUGGACAAUGGGCGGAAGCCUGAUCCAGCCAUGCCGCGUGUGUGAAGAAGGCCUUUUGGUUGUAAAGCACUUUAAGCGAGGAGGAGGCUACUUAGAUUAAUACUCUAGGAUAGUGGACGUUACUCGCAGAAUAAGCACCGGCUAACUCUGUGCCAGCAGCCGCAGUAACAC
rnacentral:rRNA from 1 species